AGGACGAACGCUGGCGGCGUGCUUAACACAUGCAAGUCGAGCGGAAAGGCCCUUCGGGGUACUCGAGCGGCGAACGGGUGAGUAACACGUGAGCAAUCUGCCCUUAGCUUCGGGAUAGCUCCGGGAAACCGGAAUUAAUACCGGAUAUGACUAUGGCUGACAUCAGCCACGGUGGAAAGUUUUUCGGCUCGGGAUGGGCCCGCGGCCUAUCAGCUUGUUGGUGGGUAACGGCCUACCAAGGCGACGACGGGUA
rnacentral:rRNA from 1 species